rnacentral:lncRNA from 1 species
AAGUCAUGAGCUGGAACGCUCAGAAACGAUAUGUACCUUCAAUCAAAUUACAGAAUUAACUAGGGGAAAAUGAGGAAGAACUUUAGGUACAGACAGCGAGAGAUCUUCAAAAUACUAUUAAAAGAAGAAAGCACUCUCGGUGUAAAAAAGAAGCCGAGGCGAGCAGAUCACUUGACUUCAGGAGUUCAAGACCAGCCCAGCCAAAAUGGUGAAAUCCACCUCCACUAAAAAUACAAAAAUUAGCCAGGCAUGGUGGUGGGUGCCUGUAAUCCCAGCUACUUGGGAGGCUGAUGCAGAAGAAUUACGUGAACCUGGAAGGCGGAGGCUGCAGUGAGCCAAGAUGGUGCCACUACACUCCAGCCUGAAUGACAGAGGAAGACUCCGUCUCAAAAAAAAGAAAAAAGAAGAGGUGCUGCUUAUAAAACAGAAUAUGACAACUUUAUUGGGAGGAAAAAAGGUGUUUGGUAAAAUGAGGAAUGUUAUCAAAAGAGGGGAGGAGAAACUGCUGUUCAAAAAAGUCAAUAUCCUGAAAGGCUGUGGGAAACUUCCAGACUACAAAAAGCUAGAGACAUGAUAACUAAAUACAUUUCCUGACCCUAGACUGGAUCCUGUGCUGGAAGGGAAAAUUCUAGAAAGGACAUUAUAUGGUCAACUCCCAAAAUUAGAAUAUGGACAGGUUAGAAAAAAGUACUGCAUCAAUGUAAAUUUGUGAAAGUGGUAACGUAUUACUGUGGUUAUUUAAGAGAAUAUGCCUAUUCUUAGGAAAUACACAUUCAAGAAUUUAGGAUUAAGUGGCUACAGUGUAUGUAAUCUUCCCUGAAAUCUCAAAGGGUUUGGAAAAAUAUUGUAUGUCUGUAUAUUUGCAUUUGUUAGCCCAUGUCUGUGUGUCUGUAUGUGUAUCCGUAUGAGUGUGUAUUUGCAGACAGAGAAUUCCAGCACACACAAAUGAUUAAGCAAAUGGAUUUAAUCUUAACAACAGGUGGAUCUGGGUAAAGGACCAUCUGGGGAUUCUUUGUACUAUUUUUCUUUCCGCAACUUUUCAAGUUUCAAACUAUUUGCAAAUAAAGAGUUUUUGUU